ensembl:lncRNA
UUCAUUGGACAAACGUGAAGUUAGGUUGCCUGAUCAGGUGAGCCGACUUUUAAACAGAGUAGAACUAGAAUCAAGUUUUGACCUAAACUGUGAAAUUUGCCACACUAUGACAAUUUCAGUGUUUAUAAAUUGAUUCUAAAAGUCAUCAAGUCUACUGCGGUUUCUUGCUGUUUCAGCUGAUAUUUUCUCUGCACUGCCAUAUGUCAUUUUGGAGAAAAGUGCAACAUGCUUCUUGAAUGCAGUGAGCUGUAAAGUGGCAAACAAAAUUAUACAGUAAAAUAUAAAGUCUGUACUUGCAGACUUAAACAUUUUGUCAAAGGCUACAUCAUAACAUAAACCAAGAUGUUACCUAAAGACCACAAAAACUCAAAGGAUGCAAGUUUACAUGCUUGAUGUAUCAGCAAGCCAUUGGAGUCCUUAUGUAGUAGUUUACAUGGAAAAUGAUCAUUCUAUACAAAAUGAACAGCUUUUUUAUUAAGGAAAAUAAAAUAAUUAUACAAAUGAAAACAUGACACAUAAUAGCUGAUAGCUACAAAAUUGGUAGGGACUAUUCUGUAAUCAUGCUCUUCUUUAUUUUCCUAUACCCCUUUUGUUUUACUGAAUGGUCUCUGUGAGCCUGACAGCUUUAAAGUAAAGUCAAAUAUGUGAUCUAAUGCAGGGGAAAGGCUGGUUAAUGCCCUUAAAACAACAUAUUUCAUUGGCACACAACAGAUGUCCUUAUGGCAACAUGAUUGUAUUCUCACAUAUGACAUGAGUGACAAAUCUUGGCUAUCCAUGUGGUAGGUUUGGCUCAUCUGCUUGCUUGCAGACUCUUACAAAAAUCUCCCUCUCUCUCUCGCUCUCUCUCUCUGAUUUAAAUGAGGCACUGUUUCAAUGUUAGCUCGGAGCCAUUGAGCCAAAGACAUAUUGCCAUCAAACGCUGCCAUCACUGGCCUGUCACCCCCUGUCUGUCAACUGUUACUUAGCAACAGCAGAACACGAGAGAGAGGCUAAUUUGAGCCAUCCUGAAUCCAUCUGCUUCUGAUUUCAGCUGCAAAAAAAAAAAAAAAACAUUACUUCCACCCCAGUCAGUGGUCAUAGUCAUCGCAGAGAUGUGCUGAGGAGCGUUAACACGCCAGUGAACAGAGAUGGGCUUUUUAAGGCUGUGGUAAAGGCUAACAGUUUAACAGAGUUAAACGAGAAAGAGACACAUUGGAGAUGGGGAGGAUCAGAUAACAAGAAUAAAUGAAGAGCAGAGAGAGGAUGUUGGGCCAGAUAAAAGAAGAAAACAAAAAGGAACGAAUGAUAAUUAGAGAAAAUUGAUUUUGGAAAUUGGUCCAACGAGGGCGAUCAAUCGGUCCUGUUACUAUGCAAAGAGAAGAACAGGAAAAUAAUGCAGGCUCACAGGGUGGAUGAAUGCCAGAGAAUCUGCCCCAUGGGCCCGGCAGUCUGUCGCUCUGCUCCAGAUAGAGGGAGAAGGGAGCUGUGCUAAACUACACUGAUCUACACCGCCCUACGCUGCUCUAAACAACUCCACACCGCUCUUCGCCGCUUUACAUCUUUCUGUGCCACUGAAAACCAAUCAAAAAUGGUCUGUAUAUCACUCUGUACCGUUCUUUCGAAACCUAUAUUUCUGUCUACCGCUCUCCCUACUGCUCUAAAUCACUCCAUACAGCUCUGUGUUACUCUACACAGCUGUACAUGUGGCUCUUCUGGCUGGAGAGGCCUGGAUUAUUGAGAUGUCGUGUUCAGGGAAAUUAGACACUUUUUGGGCCUAAUCCCCCUUUAAAACAUUGGUCAUGCUGUUUGUGCAAUCUAUGAACAUUUCUAAAACAUGUUAAAGGGAUAGUUCACCCUAAAAUGAAAAUGCUGUCAUCAUUUAAUCACGCUCAUGGCAUUUAAAAUCUGUUUUUGAGAAUACAAAAUGGAUUAUUCUGUGGCUUGCUAGCUAUAUUCCAAGCCUUCUUUUUAAACGUUUCCACCGCUAAACAUUAUGAUGCCCUUGCAAGGGAACCCGUUCCUAAAAUAUAAAGGCAGCUAUAUAUUUUCAUGCAUAAGAAAACAUUCAUACUACUACUACUAAUAAUAAUAAUUAUAAUUAUAUUACAUUCUUAUUUUCUUUUCUCUAAUUGUAUUUCACCCAAG